GACGAACGCUGGCGGCGUGCCUAAUACAUGCAAGUUGAGCGCUGAAGGUUGGUACUUGUACCAACUGGAUGAGCAGCGAACGGGUGAGUAACGCGUGGGGAAUCUGCCUUUGAGCGGGGGACAACAUUUGGAAACGAAUGCUAAUACCGCAUAAAAACUUUAAACACAAGUUUUAAGUUUGAAAGAUGCAAUUGCAUCACUCAAAGAUGAUCCCGCGUUGUAUUAGCUAGUUGGUGAGGUAAAGGCUCACCAAGGCGAUGAUACAUAGCCGACCUGAGAGGGUGAUCGGCCACAUUGGGACUGAGACACGGCCCAAACGCCUACGGGAGGCAGCAGUAGGGAAUCUUCGGCAAUGGACGAAAGUCUGACCGAGCAACGCCGCGUGAGGGAAGAAGGUUUUCGGAUCGUAAAACUCUGUUGGUAGAGAAGAACGUUGGUGAGAGUGGAAAGCUCAUCAAGUGACGGUAACUACCCAGAAAGGGACGGCUAACUACGUG
rnacentral:rRNA from 1 species